rnacentral:tRNA from 8 species
GAGGAAAAUCCGUCGACUUUAAAAAUCGUGAG